GCCUCUGAGGAUGAUCAGAAAAAUACCUUUCCGAAUUGUUUAUGAGGAAAAUACAUGGAGACCUGAACUGAAGAGGC
rfam:Glycine soja cultivar W05 scaffold1064_12, whole genome shotgun sequence.